rnacentral:rRNA from 1 species
AUACGUAGGUGGCAAGCGUUGUCCGGGAUUUACUGGGCGUAAAGGGAGCGUAGGCGGACUUUUAAGUGAGAUGUGAAAUACCCGGGCUCAACCUGGGUGCUGCAUUUCAAACUGGAAGUCUAGAGUGCAGGAGAGGAGAGUGGAAUUCCUAGUGUAGCGGUGAAAUGCGUAGAGAUUAGGAAGAACACCAGUGGCGAAGGCGACUCUCUGGACUGUAACUGACGCUGAGGCUCGAAAGCGUGGGGAGC